UGGAUGAAAUGCAGGUAUUAUUUGCCCUGGAAAUGCACAAAGGUCAUACACCUAUCUGGGCAGGAAUUUUUUCCCUGUUCUUCCUCACGGUUUUAAACUCCUCCCCAGACACUGUGUGAGAAAACAGACUUUAAGUAUUCAAUUGAGAAGAGAGAAAAAAAGGACAUACAGACUGAAACCAGUAGAGAUUAUUUUACAUCUGCAUUUAUUCCUUCAUUAAAAAUUAUAUCGAUCGUAUUCUUCUGUGAGCACGUAACGGAAAUAUCAGCGUGGAGUCUUUGAAGGCUAAAUAAGAGUUUAUCCCAAGAUGGAGCGGCAAAGUAGUAGAGUGAUCCUUCAGACUGACUUUGUACCAAGACGGAGCAUACAAAAGGUAGACGAUGCUUCUCUGUGUUCCCUGUACAAACAUUUGCAAGACUCCCACAUGGGAAGCCCACGCGUACCUUCAGCUCGGUCCUGGCCCUCUCAGAAACCCAUGGGCAGAAUAAAAACUCAGAGGCACUGCUGGGGCCAGAACCCCAACUACAGGCCUCAAUGCUAGUUUUUCAGGGGACAUCAGGAGCUGUGAAGGUAUAGCAGUCUCUCUACAAGUCACAAAGAAAAGGUGUGUCCUCUUUCUGGGUUAUACUCAGAUGAGCAAAACAACCUGGGGGGGGGGGUGGUCCUAGAGCUCUCUGGGGAAAACCUUUUAGUUCUGUUUCUCCCAGUCUCUGACUCUGGCUCUCUUUUAAACACACACACACACACACACACACACACACACACACACACAAUUUUUUCAAGGUUUAUCUCAGUACCAGGAACCCAAAAGAAUAUGGAGACUUCCAUUUUGAGCAGAACCCUCCAUUAUUCAACCUGCUGUUUGUCUGACCUGCCUCCUGUCCUCCAGGCCAUCAGACAACGAUUCUUGAACUCGGGGUUAGCGCAGGGGUGAGGGUGGGAGGCUAGGAGAGAAGGUUGGUUCAAAUCCCCAGUCUCCCUGGGGGGGGGGUCUCUUUAGUCCGCAAAUUAGUGGAAGCACACAAUGGGGCAGGGAAGGGGUGCUGGCCACUUUGCUCCUUCACCAGCAUCAGAUCCCCAAAUGCAAAAGAAUAUGCUAGGGGCUUAGUGGCCUUAACAGCAAUAUCUAAGCCCUGGCUGAAAUGUUCUAUUACCCAUUUAUGCACAAUAUGUCUUACCUUUUCAAAUAAGGUCCAAACUUCCCUACCUUCCUGUCCCUAACACAGCCACCAAGAAAGAACAUUGAAAACACAAUGCAAAUACCUCAUAUGAAAAAAUUCAGCUAUUGUUUUUGAUAACGACAAGUUACCUCUUCAUAGUAUGUAAGAAUGGCUACAUUCCAAACCAAAGAAAUUUGAAAGCAAAAUUAA